AUUGAACGCUGGCGGCAUGCCUUACACAUGCAAGUCGAACGGUAGCGGGCCUUCGGGUGCCGACGAGUGGCGAACGGGUGAGUAAUGUAUCGGAACGUACCAUUGAGUGGGGGAUAACGUAGCGAAAGUUACGCUAAUACCGCAUAUUCUCUCCGGAGGAAAGCAGGGGACCGCAAGGCCUUGCGCUCUUUGAGCGGCCGAUAUCAGAUUAGCUAGUUGGUGAGGUAAAGGCUCACCAAGGCGACGAUCUGUAGCGGGUCUGAGAGGAUGAUCCGCCACACUGGAACUGAGACACGGUCCAGACUCCUACGGGAGGCAGCAGUGGGGAAUUUUGGACAAUGGGGGCAACCCUGAUCCAGCCAUGCCGCGUGAGUGAAGAAGGCCUCGG
rnacentral:rRNA from 1 species